rnacentral:rRNA from 1 species
UACGGGUGGGCAAGCGUUGUUCGGAAUUACUGGGCGUAAAGGGCUCGUAGGCGGCCAACUAAGUCAGACGUGAAAUCCCUCGGCUUAACCGGGGAACUGCGUCUGAUACUGGAUGGCUUGAGAUUGGGAGAGGGAUGCGGAAUUCCAGGUGUAGCGGUGAAAUGCGUAGAUAUCUGGAGGAACACCGGUGGCGAAGGCGGCAUCCUGGACCAAUACUGACGCUGAGGAGCGAAAGCCAGGGGAGCAAACGGG